rnacentral:rRNA from 1 species
UACGGAGGUUGCGGGCGUUAUCCGGAUUUAUUGGGUUUAAAGGGUGCGUAGGCGGUUUGAUAAGUCAGUGGUGAAAGUUUGCAGCUUAACUGUAAAAUUGCCAUUGAUACUGUCAGACUUGAGUACAGAUGAGGUAGGCGGAAUGUGUGGUGUAGCGGUGAAAUGCUUAGAUAUCACACAGAACACCGAUAGCGAAGGCAGCUCACAAAGCUAUUACUGACGCUGAUGCACGAAAGCGUGGGGAUCAAACA